AUUGAACGCUGGCGGCAGGCCUAACACAUGCAAGUCGAACGGUAGCACAGAGAGCUUGCUCUCGGGUGACGAGUGGCGGACGGGUGAGUAACGUCUGGGAAACUGCCCGAUGGAGGGGGAUAACUACUGGAAACGGUAGCUAAUACCGCAUAACGUCGCAAGACCAAAGUGGGGGACCUUCGGGCCUCACACCAUCGGAUGUGCCCAGAUGGGAUUAGCUAGUAGGUGGGGUAAUGGCUCACCUAGGCGACGAUCCCUAGCUGGUCUGAGAGGAUGACCAGCCACACUGGAACUGAGACACGGUCCAGACUCCUACGGGAGGCAGCAGUGGGGAAUAUUGCACAAUGGGCGCAAGCCUGAUGCGGCCAUGCCGCGUGUAUGAAGAAGGCCUUCGGGUUGUAAAGUACAUUCAGCGGGGAGGAAGGCGGUGAAGUUAACAGCUUCACCGAUUGACGUUACCCGCAGAAGAAGCACCGGCUAACUCCGUGCCAGCCGCCGCAGUAA
rnacentral:rRNA from 1 species